GACGAACGCUGGCGGCGUGCCUAAUACAUGCAAGUUGAGCGAUGAAGAUUGGUGCUUGCACCAAUUUGAAGAGCAGCGAACGGGUGAGUAACGCGUGGGGAAUCUGCCUUUGAGCGGGGGACAACAUUUGGAAACGAAUGCUAAUACCGCAUAAUAACUUUAAACAUAAGUUUUAAGUUUGAAAGAUGCAAUUGCAUCACUCAAAGAUGAUCCCGCGUUGUAUUAGCUAGUUGGUGAGGUAAAGGCUCACCAAGGCGAUGAUACAUAGCCGACCUGAGAGGGUGAUCGGCCACAUUGGGACUGAGACACGGCCCAAACUCCUUCGGGAGGCAGCAGUAGGGAAUCUUCGGCAAUGGACGAAAGUCUGACCGAGCAACGCCGCGUGAGUGAAGAAGGUUUUCGGAUCGUAAAACUCUGUUGGUAGAGAAGAACGUUGGUGAGAGUGGAAAGCUCAUCAAGUGACGGUAACUACCCAGAAAGGGACGGCUAACUACGUG
rnacentral:rRNA from 1 species